rnacentral:rRNA from 1 species
CAGCAGCCACGGUAAUACGUAGGGCGCAAGCGUUAUCCGGAAUUAUUGGGCGUAAAGAGCUCGUAGGCGGUUUGUCGCGUCUGCCGUGAAAGUCCGGGGCUCAACCCCGGAUCUGCGGUGGGUACGGGCAGACUAGAGUGAUGUAGGAGAGACUGGAAUUCCUGGUGUAGCGGUGAAAUGCGCAGAUAUCAGGAGGAACACCGAUGGCGAAGGCAGGUCUCUGGGCAUUAACUGACGCUGAGGAGCGAAAGCAUGGGGAGCGAACAGGAUUAGAUACCCCUGUAGUCCAUGUCUCUUAUAC